rnacentral:rRNA from 1 species
CGGACGGGUGAGUAAUGCUUGGGAAUCUGGCUUAUGGAGGGGGAUAACUACGGGAAACUGUAGCUAAUACCGCGUAAUAUCUUCGGAUUAAAGGGUGGGACUUUCGGGCCACCUGCCAUAAGAUGAGCCCAAGUGGGAUUAGGUAGUUGGUGGGGUAAAGGGCUACCAAGCCGACGAUCUCUAGCUGGUCUGAGAGGAUGACCAGCCACACUGGAACUGAGACACGGUCCAGACUCCUACGGGAGGCAGCAGUGGGGAAUAUUGCACAAUGGGGGGAACCCUGAUGCAGCCAUGCCGCGUGAAUGAAGAAGGCCUUCGGGUUGUAAAGUUCUUUCGGUGAUGAGGAAGGUGUUUGUUUUAAUAGAACAAGCAAUUGACGUUAGUCACAGAAGAAGCACCGGCUAACUCCGUGCCAGCAGCCGCGGUAAUACGGAGGGUGCGAGCGUUAAUCGGAAUGACUGGGCGUAAAGGGCACGCAGGCGGUGACUUAAGUGAGAUGUGAAAGCCCCGGGCUUAACCUGGGAAUUGCAUUUCAUACUGGGUCGCUAGAGUAUUUUAGGGAGGGGUAGAAUUCCACGUGUAGCGGUGAAAUGCGUAGAGAUGUGGAGGAAUACCGAAGGCGAAGGCAGCCCCUUGGGAAUAUACUGACGCUCAUGUGCGAAAGCGUGGGGAGCAAACAGGAUUAGAUACCCUGGUAGUCCACGCUGUAAACGCUGUCGAUUUGGGGAUUGGGCUUAGAGCUUGGUGCCCGUAGCUAACGUGAUAAAUCGACCGCCUGGGGAGUACGGCCGCAAGGUUAAAACUCAAAUGAAUUGACGGGGGCCCG